CGCCUCUCAACCCAACAGUCACCCACAUCACCUCUUCCCCAUCUCACUCAGCAUUCCACCCGCCCCUACCUCAUCCCAACCUUCACCCCUCCUGGCUCAGCUUCACCCUACCUCACCCUUCCCCAGCCACCCUCCCCUCCUCAUCCUGCUCUCACUCGACUUUCUCUCCCCGUCCCGCACAAACCGCCCCCUCCCCCCAGCAUCUGUCGCCGACUUUCUUCCGGCUCGGCUUCCUCCUUUGCAGAAGAAGGGGUCUCUCUCUUCCCCGCUCUUGCGCUACGGGCUCGCAGCCUCCGCUCAGGCACUCGCGGCUGCACCUCCUUCUGGCGGACGGUGCGCGCCCUCUGCUGGUCGGAGGAGGGAAAACUACCUUAAACGCCUUCUCUUAGAGGGAAACAACCCCAGGACAGCCUAAAGGGACAGCCCCAACCUCACGACAGCUGUGCCUCAAGUUUUCCAAAGAAAACACACUCAGCAUAGAAAUUUUGGAAGCGUAUGCUUAAGGCGUCCUCCAUGAAACAUUGGUUGGAUGAAGCAUGUAAAGAAACGUGAAGGAAAAAAAAGACCCAAACCUACAGUCCUGUUACACAGACACCACUGUUACUAUUGAUAAUUAUUUGUCAAAAUCCUCCCUUUCUAUUCUCAAUGACUUUUAUUGAUUUAUUUUUGAGACAGGGUCUCACUCUGUCUCCCAGGCUGCCAGGCUGGAGUGCAGUGGUGGGAUUUCAGCUCACUGCAACCUCCACCUCCUGGGUGCAAGUGAUCCUUCCACUUCAACUUCCCGAGAGACUGAGACUACAGGCAUGUGCCACCAUGCCCAGCUAAUUUUUGUGUGUUUUGUAGAGACAAGGUUUUGUCAUGUUGCCAAGGCUGGUCUUGAACUUCUACACUCAAGCAAUCCACCCACUUCAGCCUCCCAAAGUGCCCGGGAUUACAGGCAUGUGCCACAGUGCCUGGCCAAUGUCUUUUAAAAUUUGAUAAUACCCUGCUUUCAUAACUGAAUAGAGAAUAAGUAUGUUCCACAUCAUUAUGCCCUACACACUUCCAGGGGUGGGGGAGUGGGCUGGUGCAUUCUCAAGCAGGUGAGUCAGUCUGGCCUGGUGGGGUCCUCUGUGACUUUCAGCAGAGAGUCCCUUUACAGCCCUAUUUGCAGGGGUCAGGAAGCUGGGAGGAAGAAGAAACAUACUGAGGAGAUACAGCCAGGAUCCAAAAUGAUCUGGGCUGCUAAAAAUUGUGGACUGAAUGUAAUAAAGUAAAAUUUAUGUUUUUUGUUUGUUUGUUU
rnacentral:lncRNA from 13 species